rnacentral:rRNA from 1 species
GCAAGUCGAGCGGUAACAGAAAUUAGCUUGCUAAUUUGCUGACGAGCGGCGGACGGGUGAGUAAUGCUUGGGAAUAUGCCUUAUGGUGGGGGACAACAGUUGGAAACGACUGCUAAUACCGCAUAAUGUCUUCGGACCAAAGAGGGGGAUCUUCGGACCUCUCGCGCUAAGAUUAGCCCAGGUGAGAUUAGCUUGUUGGUGAGGUAAUGGCUCACCAAGGCGACGAUCCCUAGCUGGUCUGAGAGGAUGAUC